AAAAAAAAACAGAACAUGAAACUGCAGAGAAGAGAAGCUCCCGCACCUCCAGCUCCAGAUCCAGAAUCCCUAAACCAGCAGCAGCUCAAGCUCACUCUCGUUCUUCUCUGCCGCCAGCGUGCUCCUCUCUGUCGCCCAACACCUCCAGCAGCCACCCCGCACCUCCAGCAACACAGCCGCUUUCAGUGGCAGGUAACCUGGACUUUGAUGAUAUGUCAACAUCCAGUAUAAAUGAAAGUGCUUGGCAACAAAAGUGUGCUUAUGGUGGUUAUAUGAAACUGCAGAUAUCUCGUUCCGAAAAAAAUCCAAAUAGAAAAUUUUGGAAAUGCUAUAAUAAUAAGGAUGGUAAAUAUUGUGGAAAGUUUGUAUGGGAUGAUGAAAUACAUCGUACACAUGGAAACAUGAACAAAACGGCGACAGAAAUGUUGAUUAAUGAAAUGGUUAGUCUAAAUAAUAAUGUAAGGGAGUUGAAUUAUACUGCCAA